UACGGGGGGGGCAAGCGUUGUUCGGAAUUACUGGGCGUAAAGGGCUCGUAGGUGGCCAACUAAGUCGGACGUGAAAUCCCUCAGCUUAACUGGGGAACUGCGUCCGAUACUGGAUGGCUUGAGUCUGGGAGAGGGAUGCGGAAUUCCAGGUGUAGCGGUGAAAUGCGUAGAUAUCGUCUGGAACGCCAAUGGUGAAAACAGGUCGCUGGGGCUGUGCUGACGCUGAGACACGAAAGCCAGGGGAGCAAACGGG
rnacentral:rRNA from 1 species